CAGAGAAGGUUGCUGCUGUUUUCUAUCACAGCCACAUUUAACUUCAUCUGGAGCUCAGGUGAAAGUCCUUCUACUCUGUUCCUCAUCAUGACCCCGAUGAUGCUCAUUAGAGCGAACCUCCGCAUCAUGUCUUGCAGGGUAAACAAAUGAUUAGCUGUAACUUACAAUUAGCCCAUCACGAGUCAGAAUUCAGGUUUUACCACUAUCUUCAGCCUGGGUUAUACUGCUCUGUUCACCUGUUCCUGAAAACACACCCACCAGCCUCCCACUCUCUGGUUGGCUCCGCGAUUGCUCUGAAAUGAGCCCUCUUUGAGGAGCUCAGUGUAACUUUUCGGGUAAGGAGGCAGGUCGACCUGGAGUAAACUGCUGUUCUGGAGUCCUCCAGAAUGGAGUCCGUCUCUGCCUGUGCACGUAGUGGCACAUUUGCGGUGCUGUGAAUGCGCAAAUAUUUUUUGUCUUCUCCUUUUAACUCCUUGUCAGGUUAGGUGGAGUGGGAGGAGAGAUCUGCCAGAGGGGGGUGGAGAGACCAGGAGGUUGUUUACCCUUGGGACUGGAGGCUGUGAAGACUGGUGUGCCAGGAUGAUUGAUGGUCCAAGAGUUUCUGUAGUUGGUGCAAUGGAAGGAGGAGGGUGGACAGGGUUCGCAGAGGGAGAUCCAUGGAACGAAGGAAUCAAGACACUGCCAGCUGGUUUGAUCCAAUGAGGAAACAGGAGGCUUGAGUCUUGGUUCAUGGAACUGGAUAGUUUCUUUUGUAGAAUAUAAACUAUCUAUGUUUGUAACUGGAAUGUGCUGAUAGAAAUCAUAAAUUGGGGAAGGACAGGAGCAGCGGAUAGGGAGUGAAGGAGACGAUAAGAGGAGCCUGCUGGAAGUAAUAACAGGAAGCACUCCUUAUUUGGACAUAAGGAACUGUUAUGUUGUACAACUAAGAGAUAUGAUAUAUGUAAAAAAGGAAAUGUUGAACACGCCCUGGAGACUUAAUAAAACGAGCUGGAAGCGGACAGAGAGCAGAGUUGUUGCUCACAGGUGUUGGCUGGGGCAUCUCUCUCCCUCUGCGCAGAGGCGAACUUAA